UACGUAGGCAGCGAGCGUUGUUCGGAAUUACUGGGCGUAAGGAGUGUGUAGGCGGUGUUCCCAGUCUGUUGUGAAAUCUCCCGGCUUAACUGGGAGGGUGCAGCGGAAACUAGAAUGCUAGAGGGUGGGAGAGGUAAGCGGAAUUCCUGGUGUAGCGGUGAAAUGCGUAGAUAUCAGGAGGAACACCUGUGGUGUAGACAGCUUACUGGACCACUUCUGACGCUGAGACACGAAAGCGUGGGUAGCAAACAGG
rnacentral:rRNA from 1 species